rnacentral:lncRNA from 1 species
CAUUCCGAAUUCUAUCCAAGCCCGGGGAGGCUUCCCUCUGACUGACCCCUCGGUGAUACACUGGGGUGGACAGAGACCUUGAAAACCAGGCACCCGUGGAGACAUGACGACCAUGGUGGCUGUGAAGCAAUCCUGACAGUAACUGACUUCCCCUGGGGCUGCCAACCCUGCUAUACACACACUGACCGGAUGCUUGUCAGUGGCUGCCUGGUGCCAAUCAAAGGUCAAAGGUGGGAUCAAGUUAAGGUUAGCAUCCAAGCAAAAGACCAGAACCUUGACCUACCUCCAAGUCCAAGGGAACCCACAGGAGAACUGGUCACUCUGCUAUCUCCAUUGCUCUGAGAGUAGCCUUAACCUGUGAGAUCGAAGCUCUAUGGCCCUGGGCUUCCUAUUUUGGUGCAGGAGGCGAAGGUUUAGAAGGCAGGACAGACUACCAUGUUUCUUCCCAGACCUACCCCACCUGCACCACGCCAAGAAUGGCAGCCAGGGCAGGGUUUGGUCCCUGGGCUCCAAGUCUACUCCUGAACCCCCGAUGAGUCUCACCUUAGGUCAAGACAACCCCUCAGCAGGAGCCCUCAGGUGACAAUCUCUGUGCAGAUAUUCCAAUGUUAACCUCAGUUGGAACUCAGUUGCAACUCGUCUGAGGACAGGGCCGGGGAGGGGGGAAGGGCGCCGCAGCAACAAUAGAUGCUUCCUCUUUGGUUUCAAGUCGGCAGACCUUUGACCGAGAUUCCUGUGCCUUUGACCAAGGGCCUACUGACAGAGAAGAGAAAGAAGUUGCCCACAUUGUUGGCCAGGGCCUGUUUGGUGCUGCCAAGGGACUGGCUGCUGCUCCUGUGUGAGCAUGCAGCUGUUCAGUACAGGGAUGGCAACUAAGGAUCCAGCAGAGCCUGGCUGAAUCAUCUCCAAGAAAAAUUCACAGGAGAGGAGGUGAACCGGCCUUCAACUCAGCCCCGGUUGAGGUGUGACUGUACAAAAACCCAGGGUCUCAUAUCCAAGUGCCCUAGUAAAUCUAUUUUUUAAUAA